rnacentral:rRNA from 1 species
UACGUAGGGACCAAGCGUUGUUCGGAUUUACUGGGCGUAAAGGGCGCGUAGGCGGCGUAACAAGUCACUUGUGAAAUCUCUGAGCUUAACUCAGAACGGCCAAGUGAAACUGUUGUGCUAGAGUGCAGAAGGGGCAAUCGGAAUUCUUGGUGUAGCGGUGAAAUGCGUAGAUAUCAAGAGGAACACCUGAGGUGAAGACGGGUUGCUGGGCUGACACUGACGCUGAUGCGCGAAAGCCAGGGGAGCAAACGGG